rnacentral:rRNA from 1 species
UACGAAGGGGGCUAGCGUUGUUCGGAAUUACUGGGCGUAAAGCGCACGUAGGCGGAUAUUUAAGUCAGGGGUGAAAUCCCAGAGCUCAACUCUGGAACUGCCUUUGAUACUGGGUAUCUUGGGUAUGGAAGAGGUAAGUGGAAUUGCGAGUGUAGAGGUGAAAUUCGUAGAUAUUCGCAGGAACACCAGUGGCGAAGGCGGCUUACUGGUCCAUUACUGACGCUGAGGGUGCGAAAAGCGUGGGGAGCAAACAGG